rnacentral:rRNA from 1 species
UAAUACAGAGGGUGCGAGCGUUGUCCGGAAUCACUGGGCGUAAAGGGCGCGUAGGUGGCGGCAUAAGGCCGUGGUGAAAGUCUGGGGCUCAACCCCAGAUCGGCCGCGGCGACUGUGUCGCUUGGGCACUGUAGAGGCAGAUGGAAUUCCGGGUGUAGCGGUGGAAUGCGUAGAGAUCCGGAAGAACACCGGUGGCGAAGGCGGUCUGCUGGGCAGUGAGCUCGCAAGGGCUCAAUAGCCGACACUGAGGCGCGACAGCGUGGGGAGCAAACAGGAUUAGAUACCCUGGUAGUCCACGCCGUAAACGAUGGGCACUAGGUGCUCCGGGGAGCGACCCUUGGAGUACCGGCGCUAACGCAUGAAGUGCCCCGCCUGGGGAGUACGGCCGCAAGGCUG